rnacentral:rRNA from 1 species
GAUGAACGCUGGCGGCGUGCCUAAUACAUGCAAGUCGAGCGAACAGACGAGGAGCUUGCUCCUCUGACGUUAGCGGCGGACGGGUGAGUAACACGUGAUAACCUACCUAUAAGACUGGGAUAACUUCGGGAAACCGGAGCUAAUACCGGAUAAUAUAUUGAACCGCAUGGUUCAAUAGUGAAAGACGGUUUUGCUGUCACUUAUAGAUGGAUCGGCGCCGCAUUAGCUAGUUGGUAAGGUAACGGCUUACCAAGGCAACGAUGCGUAGCCGACCUGAGAGGGUGAUCGGCCACACUGGAACUGAGACACGGUCCAGACUCCUACGGGAGGCAGCAGUAGGGAAUCUUCCGCAAUGGGCGAAAGCCUGACGGAGCAACGCCGCGUGAGUGAUGAAGGUCUUCGGAUCGUAAAACUCUGUUAUUAGGGAAGAACAAAUGUGUAAGUAACUAUGCACGUCUUGACGGUACCUAAUCAGAAAGCCACGGCUAACUACGUG